AGAGUUUGAUCCUGGCUCAGAGCGAACGCUGGCGGCAGGCUUAACACAUGCAAGUCGAGCGGGUGUAGCAAUACAUCAGCGGCAGACGGGUGAGUAACGCGUGGGAACGUACCUUUUGGUUCGGAACAACCCAGGGAAACUUGGGCUAAUACCGGAUAAGCCCUUACGGGGAAAGAUUUAUCGCCGAAAGAUCGGCCCGCGUCUGAUUAGCUAGUUGGUGAGGUAAUGGCUCACCAAGGCGACGAUCAGUAGCUGGUCUGAGAGGAUGAUCAGCCACAUUGGGACUGAGACACGGCCCAAACUCCUACGGGAGGCAGCAGUGGGAAUAUUGGACAAUGGGGGCAACCCUGAUCCAGCCAUGCCGCGUGAGUGAUGAAGGCCCUAGGGUUGUAAAGCUCUUUUGUGCGGGAAGAUAAUGACGGUACCGCAAGAAUAAGCCCCGGCUAACUUCCUGCCAACAGCCGCGGUAAUACGAAGGGGGCUAGCGUUGCUCGGAAUCACUGGGCGUAAAGGGUGCGUAGGCGGGUUUUUAAGUCAGGGGUGAAAUCCUGGAGCUCAACUCCAGAACUAACUUUGAUACUUAAGAUCUUGAGU
rnacentral:rRNA from 1 species